AUUGAACGCUGGCGGCAGGCCUAACACGUGCAAGUCGAGCGGAUGAAGGGAGCUUGCUCCUGGAUUCAGCGGCGGACGGGUGAGUAAUGCCUAGGAAUCUGCCUGGUAGUGGGGGAUAACGUCCGGAAACGGGCGCUAAUACCGCAUACGUCCUGAGGGAGAAAGUGGGGGAUCUUCGGACCUCACGCUAUCAGAUGAGCCUAGGUCGGAUUAGCUGGUUGGUGGGGUAAAGGCCUACCAAGGCGACGAUCCGUAACUGGUCUGAGAGGAUGAUCAGUCACACUGGAACUGAGACACGGUCCAGACUCCUACGGGAGGCAGCAGUGGGGAAUAUUGGACAAUGGGCGAAAGCCUGAUCCAGCCAUGCCGCGUGUGUGAAGAAGGUCUUCGGAUUGUAAAGCACUUUAAGUUGGGAGGAAGGGCAGUAAGUUAAUACCUUGCUGUUUUGACGUUACCAACAGAAUAAGCACCGGCUAACUUCGUG
rnacentral:rRNA from 1 species